rnacentral:tRNA from 1 species
GGAUAGAUACCCAAGUGGUUAUAAGGGGUCCCUCUGCUAAGGGGAUAGUCGUGUAAAAGCGUGCGUGGGUUCGAAUCCCACUCUGUCCGCCA